rnacentral:rRNA from 1 species
UGUAGUCAUAUGCUUGUCUCAAGGAUUAAGCCAUGCAUGUCUAAGUAUGAACCUUCAUACGGUGAAACUGCGAACGGCUCAUUACAACAGUCAUCAUUUACUUGGUCAUUGGAUCUCUGAUCCUACAUGGAUACCUGUUGGUAACACCAGAGCUAAUACAUGCACAAACUCCCUGGCGCAAGCGGGGAGGCAUUUAUUAGAUUCAACCAACCCGGCGCUCGCGCCGGUCGGAUGAUUCACAGUAAAUCGUUGCGAAUCGCUCCGUACGGAGUGAUGAACCAAUCAAGUUUCUGCCCUAUCAGCUUUCGUCGGUACGGUAUUGGCGUACCGAGGCGUCAACGGGUAACGGGGAAUA